rnacentral:tRNA from 1 species
GCCUGGGUGGCUCAGUCGGUUGGGCGUCUGACUUCAGCUCAGGUCAUGAUCUCACGGUUUGUGAGUUCGAGCCCCGCGUCGGGCU